UACGUAGGGGCUAGCGUUGUCCGGAAUCACUGGGCGUAAAGGGUUCGCAGGCGGAAAUGCAAGUCAGAUGUAAAAGGCAGUAGCUUAACUACUGUAAGCAUUUGAAACUGCAUAUCUUGAGAAGAGUAGAGGUAAGUGGAAUUUUUAGUGUAGCGGUGAAAUGCGUAAUAUUAAAAAGAAUACCGGUGGCGAAGGCGACUUACUGGGCUCAUUCUGACGCUGAGGAACGAAAGCGUGGGUAGCAAACAGGAUUAGAUACCCUGGUAGUCAAGGGCG
rnacentral:rRNA from 1 species